CAAGGCCAUCAGAAGGCGCCUGGCCUCCAUACACACAUUCAGGCAGGGUCAGAUACUGGGUCCUGCUUGAAGGAAGCCCGCAGUACAGCAGAGGGGACAGCCAGUAACACCAUGGGGCCUCACGGUGCUGGGGACUCCCUCUCCCUGCCCAAGAGAGGGAGCUGAUAGGUGUGCCCUGGUGUUUCCUCCCAGGGAAAACGCCUGGGGAAAACCAGGCCAGAGAUAGGGGCUCUGAGCCCAGGACUGACAGCCAGCCAGGUUCCAGAACAUGACACCUCCUCGCCACGACCCUUGCACCAAAGCAGCUUGAGAAACACAACGGGAAGCCCUGCCUGGUCUUCCCUCCAGAACCAACACCUCGCCCAGAGGAGAAAGGCCCAUCCCAUUCCAGACCUGCCCUGUGCAAGCCUCACACCAGCAGCACAUCUUGGGAGGCCACAACCAAGCAUCAUGCCUGGUGGCCACGUCCCAGGAGGCUGGCCCACACCCCCACCCCCACGCUGCACGACCUCUCACCCUCGCCUUCCCCAUCUGCACGGGAACAGCAGUGACUGUCCCAGCAGAGCAGAGAAGGCAGGCACGGCCUGUGCUAUGGGACAGGGGUCACCUGGGCUGCGUGCUGGGCACUGGCCUUUAUUUAACUUGCUGCUUUUGGAAGGGCAGGUGGCCCGGGCUCUAUGGAACACCAGGUUUCCCCUUGUGGUCUCAGGGUCCGGAGGAGUGUGGAGGAGCUGCCCCAGAGGAAGGCCUGCUGGAUGUCAGAAUUAGGCUGGGGCAGUGAUGCUCCGUCAUACUCCAGCUCCAUGUCUGAUGACUUCAGAAUGCUUUUAUUCCCUCCCAUUAUAAUUGUGGGAUUUCAGGACCAGACCAUUAUUUACCUACGAUUUUUACAUAACAUUACUUUUCUUGUAAGUAUUUUGGACACGAGCACUCAGCCUCAUAAACAGGCCCAGGCCACGCCAGUCACCUUGGACUGGGCCUGCUGCUCCCACCAUGCCCACUGCUCCCCAGCCAGAGAACACAGAACAGCGCCAGCUUCCCGAGUCCCAGACCCUCAGGAAGGGCCACCAUUCCGAGCGUGGACCAGGGCCAUAAUCUCAGAGCUUCUCCUUAAUACUUAUGACCCCAUGACAACCCGACCAAGUGGGGAAACUGAGGCCCCCGAUAAUGCAUGUGACAUCACAACCACCCCCGUGGGAAAGCUGAGGCAGAGCAGCUCUCUAUGGCUCACUCUGGGCAGAGGCAGCAGAGGGGGAAGACAACAUUCAGGGCCCCCCAACCAUGGGGCACGGGCUCCAGGUUGAGGCUUCCUGCCAGAGGCUCCAGUUCUCUGCUCCAGCUCCCAAGCCACCCAAAGCAAUCUCCGAAGGCUAGGGUCUAGUAUCCAAAUCUGACGUAUCGAUCAAAUUGUAAGUACUACUAAUAAGCAUACCACAAUUCACUUGGAUUAACUAUUAUUAGAGUUCCUAACAACAAAUAAAUAAAUGAAGGGAGGAGGGGAGAAAAGAGGAUUCUAAGCAGCAGGCCCAGCGUAUCCCUGCCCUUUCACCGCGCAACUGUGUGGACUGAGAACAUCACGAGUGUGUUGGAGCCUCCGAGGCCUCACUGAAGCUGGGAACCUGCCGUGCGUGCUGCCAGGACAUCCUACACUUUAAUUUGUUAGUAAUGCUUCCAAGGUUGGUUUUGUUCUGUUUUGAAUGUUCAAACCUACAGGACAGCUGAAAGAUCAGGGCCGCGAGCGCUCCAUGCCGACGCCUCCCGGAAGGUCUGGUGCCAUCGUGCACCUGCCCAUGCUGGCUGCUGCGUGGAGCCUGAGGGCCCACAGACCACCACGGCCUCCCAGAAUCUGCACCCCCCUUAAGCCAUUGUUGUCCCCUUGGCUAUGACAAUGUGCCUCUCGAGAAUGCAUGAUCUAGAUUCACCAACUGUUAUUUUACAGCAUUCUCUCUCUAGAUAUUUAUACACACACAGGCACACACACGCACACCACAGAUACACACCUCCUAUAUGUGUAGGCGCACGCCCUGCCGCACCCAUGACUCAGUGUUUCUCUCAUGUAGCCUCUGCAGAGCCUGUUUUCCAGGGACCCUCGCCCUGGGUGUGAAAGGAAAAUAAAAUCUCGGCCCCAAACUCACUGUGCCAAAGGGAAAGGUAAAAUGUGGAUUCAGUGAGCGCUGAUCGAAGCCCCACAGGAAUGUGACCACUUGGCUCACCACCUGCCCCCACUUUUACUUUUCUAUCCUCCUUCCCCUGCUGCCCAUUGUUUCUCCUUUAAACGCUGACGUCCUCAAAGCUCUCUCUGGAGAAAGCACAGGCCAUAGAUCUUACUGUCACUUGUGUUUCUUUUCCCUGGGCGCAUCCUCAACCUUGGCAAACUCAGCUUCUGAAUGGACUGGGCUCUGACGCAGACGCGCUGGGCUUGAUGCAGGUCCCCAUUAUCCUAAACCCGGGACCGGCAUUUGCCGCACAGUAAACAGCGGCAAUGUGGAGGGACACUUUAAAAGCUGGACCUGAUGUUUUAAAAGAUAAUUUAAAAUAAUUGUAUGAAUUUGCAAAGAUCAAGAAAAUCCCUGUUGCUUUUAA